rnacentral:rRNA from 1 species
GACGAACGCUGGCGGCGUGCCUAAUACAUGCAAGUGGGACGCAAGGGAACACACUGUGCUUGCACACCGUGUUUUCUUGAGUCGCGAACGGGUGAGUAACGCGUAGGUAACCUGCCUAUUAGCGGGGGAUAACUAUUGGAAACGAUAGCUAAUACCGCAUAAUAUUAAUUAUUGCAUGAUAAUUGAUUGAAAGAUGCAAGCGCAUCACUAGUAGAUGGACCUGCGUUGUAUUAGCUAGUUGGUAAGGUAAGAGCUUACCAAGGCGACGAUACAUAGCCGACCUGAGAGGGUGAUCGGCCACACUGGGACUGAGACACGGCCCAGACUCCUACGGGAGGCAGCAGUAGGGAAUCUUCGGCAAUGGACGAAAGUCUGACCGAGCAACGCCGCGUGAGUGAAGAAGGUUUUUCGGAUCGUAAAGCUCUGUUGUAAAGUCAAAGAAACGUGUGUGAAG